rnacentral:rRNA from 1 species
AUUGAACGCUGGCGGCAUGCCUUACACAUGCAAGUCGAACGGUAACAGGUCUUCGGAUGCUGACGAGUGGCGAACGGGUGAGUAAUACAUCGGAACGUGCCUAGUAGUGGGGGAUAACUACUCGAAAGAGUGGCUAAUACCGCAUGAGAUCUACGGAUGAAAGCAGGGGAUCGCAAGACCUUGUGCUACUAGAGCGGCCGAUGGCAGAUUAGGAAGUUGGUGGGAUAAAAGCUUACCAAGCCGACGUUCUGUAGCUGGUCUGAGAGGACGAUCAGCCACACUGGGACUGAGACACGGCCCAGACUCCUACGGGAGGCAGCAGUGGGGAAUUUUGGACAAUGGGCGCAAGCCUGAUCCAGCAAUGCCGCGUGCAGGAUGAAGGCCUUCGGGUUGUAAACUGCUUUUGUACGGAACGAAAAGCCCUGGGUUAAUACCCUGGGGUCAUGACGGUACCGUAAGAAUAAGCACCGGCUAACUACGUGCCAGCAGCCGCGGUAA